ACGACUAUAAAAUAGGUACGAUUUGUCUUUAUAGUGACAGAGUGUGUGGGUUCGAUUCCCACUGGUCGUA
rnacentral:tRNA from 1 species